GGGGUGGGGAGUCUGGUGGGGUGUCCCAGCUCCCCUGGAUUGGGCCAGCCUCUGCCUGUGGAAUCUGAUGAGAAAUCUCCCCCCCAUUUUCAGCACGGUUCUCUCCAAUGGCGAACCACCAGUUCCACUUAUAAAUGGCCCGUAAAGUCUAUUUGAGGUCUUUGAAAGAUCUACGAGAAUGCCUCACGGUCCGAACGCGUUAUUUUUCAUUGCCUCUCGUUUGAUGUAUGGCUGGACCAUCUAAUUAUUGUAAUGGGCUCCGAUUAACCUGCGCCAACAUUUAUCAACCCUGUUAAUCAGGCAGCGAGCGCUUUGUUGGUGCAGACAAGCGUCCUUACCAAGAUGUCCACUUUUUACAUCGAACGUUUAAGUUUUGUGAGUACUCGGCCGUUAUCUAAAUAAACACCACGGUUUUCGCAGCGCUGAGUGUUGCUGCGUGGCAACGUAUUUGAAGACGAACUACAGGAAGAUUUCUUCGCAAGGCAUUAAUAACGCUAGAGGAUUAAAUUACAGCCGUCUUUCUGCUCAAGAUUUGCAUGGUCUUCAAGUUGUCUGUCCUACAGGGUCCGGGGAAUGAGAGUUCGCGUUCCGUUUGUAACAUCGUCCCUAAGUUUGGCCCCAAAGGUUUAGUUAAAGGGCUCUUCCCUGGACGUGUUUGAAAAAAUGUGGCAUUUCCAUUCGGGGAAAUGUGGAGAUUUGCCCGAGAUCAGAGCGCCACAACCCACUGGGAUCGCCGUAGGAACGAAACAGAGAUUUGGGCUGUUUGGGUCAGUGGCCUGAACCUCAGAGCUGAGGUCACAGGAUUUGGCACCACAUUGGGAAGGAGGCCCUGCUGCAACUCUCUGUCUUUGCCACAGGCCUAGAGGAUUCCUUUGAAGGGAAACCUGGCUCUGUCAACUCAGAAGGCAAGAAUCGAUAUGUGCUGGCUAGUUUUAUGUCAACUUGACUCAAGCUAGAGUCAUUUUGGAAGAAGGAACCUCAAGUGAGAAAACAUCCCUACCAGAUGGGCCUAUGGACACAGCCUGUGCUGUGUUUUCCUCAGUGACUGGUGUGGGAGGGCCCAGCUCUCUGUGGGUGGAGCCCUGGGCUGGUGGUCCUGGGAUCCAUAAGCAAUCAGGCUAAGCAAGCCAGGAGGAGCAAGCCAGUAAGCCGCACUCCUCCAUGGCCUCUGCUUCAGUUCCUGCCCCAGUUUCCUGCCUCGAUUUCCCACCCUGACUUCCUUCAAGGAUAGUCAGUGGUGUGGAACUUUAAGCUGAAAUAAACCCUUUCUCUCCCAAGCUGCUUCUGGUCUUGUCUGGUGUUUUAUCACAGCAACAGAAACCCUAAGACUCCUUGAUUUGCCUGUGAACCAGAAUGUGCUCAUUUCUUAA